rnacentral:lncRNA from 1 species
UUCAUCCUUGACCAUUUAAUCAACCAUUCAUCAUCAAAUACUUACACAUCAUUCUAUAGUAAAAUCAUAUUUACAAAUAUACAAAAUUACUAAAUUCCUAUACAUGCCAUAACUAAAAGAAAUGUUCACCACCACAAUUAGCUCAGAAUCGGCUUUGGAUGCUGAUUCAACAAUCCGACUUUGACCUAACCUGCGCACGGAAACAACCGUACGCUGAGUAUGGAAAUACUCAGUGGUAUUACCAUAAUUCGAAUUAAUAACAUUAAUCGAUAAAUUAUAUACAUUUUAUUUAUGUCUACAAUUAUUCAUUAAUUAUCUCAUGCAUUAAUUCAACUUGAUAAUUAAUAACAAUAAGCUAUAAUUCAAAUCUUGUAUUUAAUUGUAUUCAUACCUUAUUUCACUAUCUCAAUUCCAUUGGAUUUUUCUUUACAUCUCAUUCCAAUAGUUCAUUUCAAUUCAUAUACAAUUCAUUUCAUUUAAUUUAUAUUCAAUAUAAAUUUUAUUACAAUUUGUACUCACUAAUAUCAUAUAACAAAAUUUACUCUUUAUCACAUCAUGAACUUUGGGCUCAUAUCUUUAAAUCUCUUAUUUCGAUUUCCAAUUCACACAUCAAUUCACAACUUCACUUGUUUUCACACUUUAUUUCUUAACAAUAUACCAUUUUAAUUCAUUUUAACAUCAAUCAUCAUCCAUUUGAACUUCACUCAUUUCAUGAACCUUUUGGUUCAUGUUUUCAAUCUCAUAUCUCAAUUUAAUAUCUCAUUUAUUCAAUUCAUAUUUUAAUUCAUUCAAUUAAAUAUUGGUAUUCUCCUUAUUUUUAUUUACUAAACAUAUUAUUCAAAAUUCAACAAUUACUAUCAAUAAAUUCAAUAUCAAUACGUAUAUAUAUAUUUCAUUCGAUUCAAUCAUGAUACUCACCUCAAUUUUCUUAUCAUGUAUAUUAAUUUAAAUUUUAACAAUUAAUAAUUAAAUUCGAAUUAUAGUAAUACUAACCGUAAUUUCUCUCGAGUCACUCCUUGUCCACUUUCUCCUUUCCUUUCUCGGACAAUGACUCGUACACGACAUUAGCUACGUAAUUAAAUAAUUAAAAAUCAUUAAUACACAAUUUCAUUAAAAUAUUUCCUUUUAUACCUAAACUUUAUAAUUAUCCCUUACCAAUACUAAUUUUAUUUUUCCCAAUCUAACUCUAUAUUCUCUCUUAAUUCUUACUAUAAAGUCAAUUUAAUUCCUCAAUUUCACCAUAAAUCCCUAAUUUCGGGAUUCUUUCAAUUUAAUCCCUAUCGAUUCAAAACUUAUAUUUUAUUUUACAAUUCAAUCCUUUAUUCAAUUCCAAUCAAAAUUUCUAUCAAAUACAUCCCUAAUUUAACAAUUUAUUCAACAUGAACCAUGCUUAAUAAUCUACUAACUUUCAAAAUUUCAACUUAAAUCAAGUAGUAUUUUAUUCUAGGAUUUCAAAAAAAAAUAUCAAAAUUAAGAGAAAAGGGGAUUAAAUUGACUUACCAAAUUACUUUGAACCUUAAAACCCCAAAUUUCCCUUUUUCUUUUCUUUUCUUUCUUUCUUUCCUUCCUUCCUUCUCUGUUUCGUUUUGCUCUCUGUUUCUUUCUUUCUCCCUUCUCUGUUUUGUUUUGUUUUGCUCUCUGUUUCUUUUCUUUGUCAUAUAUAUAUAUAUAAUAUAAU